GACGAACGCUGGCGGCGUGCUUAACACAUGCAAGUCGAACGGGCCCGCCCCUGUUUUUGGGGGUGGGUUGAGUGGCGAACGGGUGAGUAUCACGUGAGUAACCUGCCCCCUGCUCCUGGAUAACUGCUUGAAAGGGCGGCUAAUACGGGGUGUGCCGGCUGGUCCGCAUGGGCCUGGUCGGGAUAGUUUCAUCUUCGGGUGUUUCGGUGGGGGAUGGGCUCGCGGCCUAUCAGCGUGUUGGUGGGGUGAUGGCCCACCAAGGCGGUGACGGGUAGCCGGCCUGAGAGGGUGGGCGGCCAGACUGGGAGUGAGACACGGCCCAGACUCCUGCGGGAGGCAGCAGUGGGGGGUAGUGCACAAUGGGCGGAAGCCAGAUGCAGCGACGGCGCGUGAGGGAUGGAGGCCUUCGGGUUGUGAACCUCUUUCUCCGGUGGUGAAGGCCCUGUCCGUUGCGGCGGGGUUGACGGUAGCCGGGGAUGAAGCGCCGGCUAACUACGUG
rnacentral:rRNA from 1 species